GUGAAUCAUCGAAUCUUUGAACGCAAAUUGCACUCUCUGGUAUUCCGGAGAGCAUGCCUGUUUGAGGGUCAGUUAAAUAAAAAUCGGGGUUUUUGCGACCUUUGGUGGUGCCGCUGCGGCAUUGGGUCGUCUUUACCUUUCGGUUAAGUGUCUUAAAAUUUUUGAAUGAUAUCUGAACGUAUUUAAAUUUAUUUGGUACGUCUUGGUAAUCUCGUGUGUUUAUU
rnacentral:misc_RNA from 1 species